ACUCAAAUGAAUUGACGGGGGCCCGCACAAGCAGCGGAGCGUGUGGUUUAAUUCGACGCAACGCGAAGAACCUUACCCAGGCUUGACAUGCAUCUGCAAGCCGUUGAAAGACGGUCGCCUUCGAGGGUGAUGCACAGGUGCUGCAUGGUUGUCGUCAGCUCGUGUCGUGAGAUGUUGGGUUAAGUCCCGCAACGAGCGCAACCCCUACUGCCAGUUACUUGUGUCUGGCGGGACUGCCGGCUUUCGGCCGGAGGAAGGCGGGGAUGACGUCAAAUCCGCAUGGCCCUUACGCCUGGGGCGACACACACGCUACAAUGGCCAGGACAGCGCGUUGCCAAGCCGCAAGGCGGAGCUAAUCGCCCAAACCUGGUCCCAGUGCAGAUCGGGGGCUGCAACUCGCCCCCGUGAAGGUGGAGUUGCUAGUAACCGCGUAUCAGCCAUGGCGCGGUGAAUACGUUCCCGGGCCUUGUACACACCGCCCGU
rnacentral:rRNA from 1 species